ACAUUUUCUAAGUUAUGAUAUUGAUAUAUUAAUGAUUCAAAACCAGGUUUUUAAGAUGAUUUUAAUGGAAUUCCUUGAAGAACCCAUGAUUUUUUCAAAUCUCCUAAAUUGGCUUAUGAAGUGGAUUUAAUGCAUAUGAUUGGAUUUUUCUCAGAAUUGUGCUUAUACUAUGAUGAAUUUUCGUUAUCUGUUGCUAUCUGUGCCUAAUUAUGGUGAAUUUUUGGAGAAUUGAGAAAGGGAGAUCAUGGCUUAGAUAAAGGGUAUAGGUGGAAGAAAGUGAGGAUCUUAGAGUAGAAUCUUGGGAAGUGGAUUGUUCUCUCAAGACUCUUGGUAUGUCAUCAAAUGUUUAAGGACAUGGAUGUUCUUUUUAGUUUUGUUUCAUUAAUGACUUUGUAUCAAGACUAGUACAAUGUAAGGGCUAUAACCCUAUGAGAGUUAGAUGAGUAUAAGAAUAUCUUGUGAUUGUGAUACAUAGUUUACUUAUGUUUAAUAAAAGAGUUUCCUUAUUGA